GGGAGAAAAAUGAGUUUGUUUGUUGUUAAGCAUGUAGAGGAUUUGUAUUUAUACAUAUUUUUGAGCUGCAAUGUGAUGAAUAGUUUGAAUGUGAGGAAGAAUGGACAGUAAAUGUGAGCUAGAAUUCAGAUUAUUUCAAUUUUAUGUAUUAGGAAAAAAUUAGAGUAAAUGUGUUUGUAAUAUUUAUAAAUUAGCCAUAUAAACUGUAGGUGUAAUUUCAUACUUUAUUACUUUUCAGAUAGAGGUAUGGAAUUAGCCAUUUUUAGAAUAAGUAAAUUAGGUGGGAAAUAUUAAAUUUUUUAAUAGUUUAGUUAUUUGUAAAUUAAAUAUGAGCUAAAUAAUUUGUGUAUUUCUAUGUAAACAUUCAGCAAUAUUUGAGUUUGUCGUAGUGUAUCAUGUUGUUUGCUUCUGAAAUUUUAAUUUGUGUAUUUCUAUCUAAAAUUUUAGUAAUGUGAUGGAUAGUUUUAUUGUAAUCCAUUUUAUUGAUGGCUUGCGUAAU
rnacentral:lncRNA from 1 species